UGGGGAAUCUUGGACAAUGGGCGCAAGCCUGAUCCAGCCAUGCCGCGUGGAUGAUGAAGGCCUUAGGGUUGUAAAAUCCUUUCGUUGGGGACGAUAAUGACGGUACCCAAAGAAGAAGCUCCGGCUAACUUCGUGCCAGCAGCCGCGGUAAUACAGAGGGUGCGAGCGUUAAUCGGAAUUACUGGGCGUAAAGCGCACGUAGGUGGCGACGUAAGUCGGGUGUGAAAUCCCCGGGCUCAACCUGGGAACCGCAUUCGAGACUGUGUUGCUGGAGUACGGAAGAGGAGGGCGGAAUUCCCGGUGUAGCGGUGAAAUGCGUAGAUAUCGGGAGGAACAUCAGUGGCGAAGGCGGCCCUCUGGUCCAGUACUGACACUCAAGUGCGAAAGCGUGGGGAGCAAACAGGAUUAGAUACCCACGUAGUCCCUGAGCGGGCUGGCAAGGCGCAU
rnacentral:rRNA from 1 species